rnacentral:rRNA from 1 species
UACGGGGGGGGCAAGCGUUGUUCGGAAUUACUGGGCGUAAAGGGUUCGUAGGUGGCCUACUAAGUCAUACGUGAAAUCCCUCAGCUUAACUGGGGAACUGCGUCUGAGACUGGAAGGCUUGAGUGCAGGAGAGGAACGCGGAAUUCCAGGUGUAGCGGUGAAAUGCGUAGAUAUCUGGAGGAACACCGGUGGCGAAAGCGGCUCACUGGACCCGAUCUGACACUGAGGUGCGAAAGCUAGGGUAGCAAACGGG